GUGAGGAAUUUUCCGCAAUGGGCGAAAGCCUGACGGAGCAAUGCCGCGUGAAGGAUGAAGGCCUAUGGGUUGUAAACUUCUUUUCUCAGAAAAGAAUUAUGACGGUAUCUGAGGAAUAAGCAUCGGCUAACUCUGUGCCAGCAGCCGCGGUAAGACAGAGGAUGCAAGCGUUAUCCGGAAUGAUUGGGCGUAAAGCGUCUGUAGGUUGUUUAAAAAGUAUUCUGUCAAAGAUUAGCGCUUAACCCUAGAUAGGCAGAAUAAACUUUUAAGCUAGAGUUUGGUAGAGGCAGAGGGAAUUCCCGGUGGAGCGGUGAAAUGCGUAGAUAUCGGGAGGAACACCAAAGGCGAAGGCACUCUGCUGGGCCAAUACUAACACUGAGAGACGAAAGCGCGGGGAGCAAAUGGGAUUAGAUACCCCGGUAGUCC
rnacentral:rRNA from 1 species